rnacentral:misc_RNA from 1 species
ACCCCAGCCAUAUGUACGUGUGACCUGUCGUAAUCAACUUAUUUCUGGCCAGGCUUGUGUUUUGAUAGAAAAUAAUUGCUGAAAUUUCCCCACAAUCUAUUUCACCAUGAGGCCUGGAAUUUCUGCAAGGCAAUCUUCCGGCCGAGAUUAGUGUUUCUAAUUGGGGUGUGUGCGUGCUCUGCCCAACCUAUGAUUGCAAACAAUCUCAAAGGAUUGCUAAUUGAAAGAGUAAAACUUGAAAUUUAAGUUGAAAUUUGGCAGUCGUAACAAUUUCCAAGAGAAGGAAAAAAACCGAGAAAUGUUACAAAUGAACAGCUGAUGAAACUGCUAGAUAUCUGCGGUUCUCCUGAUCCCAUUUCAAGAACUGGAACGAAAAGAGCAGUAGCAAUUUCUACCUCACUGGUCCUUCUGAGCUUUCGACCUGGCAGGCCUUGCUGGUUUAAUUAUGUAGCCAAGAAGGAUCAUUGUUAUGGGCAGAAUGGUGCCAAUGAAAUACACACU